rnacentral:lncRNA from 1 species
CCGGGAUCUUAUUUUGCAGCUUUACAGAGUAGGCUUUGUGCUAGGUGUUGUUUAUGGAGCUUUUCAAAGGCGCUUGUUUCCUUAGUUCUCAAGCCCUUUUAGAACUAAAACCAGUGUCUACACAGAAGAUCAGGAGCCAUUUAAAUUGGAGUGCUGUGAUAUAUUUUUUCUCUCCAAACUGAGUCUGAUAUCCAUGUUGACUUUCAGUAAACUAAGGAACCGCUAUAAUAAAUAACACUGAGCCCACAGAGGUUGCAGAAGAGGGUCUAGCACCCCUUUUUUAAACCAUUGAGUCUCCCAAGAAUAAAAGUGGUUACACUUGUCAGUUCUCUAAGGAAAAUCUAGUAGAGAAGGCAAGGGAUUCCCAGUUUCUCACAGAGUCUGGCACUUGUCCAAACACCUACCCUAAAGCAGAAUCGAUCAUGGCAGCUAUUAGAUUAGGACAGAAAACAGGCUCAAACGGAGAGCCACUUGAGUCUGCCUUUCUGUGUCUUUUUUCUCAACGCGCUCCAGUUAAGAUGCAGCUUACAGCCUGGCUGUGUUGACUGAGAUCCCAGAAAGAGUGCCCUUAAGGCCUUGCUGAUAAGGCCCAAUGAUCCCAAUUCAUCUAGUGUUCCGCAUAGACCCCAAGGUUACAGUGUGUGGGGACAGUGAUGUUAAGUCUUCCCUAUCCUACCUGUGGCUGACAGGUGUUGAUUAAGACAAUGAUUUUUUAGAAGUCAUAAAUCAUUUGUAUUUUUGAUGUGGGCAGUGAUUUUUAUAAAUACAUAGUUUUUUU